rnacentral:rRNA from 1 species
GACGAACGCUGGCGGCGUGCUUAACACAUGCAAGUCGAACGAGUGGCGAACGGGUGAGUAACACGUGGGUGACCUGCCCUGCACUUCGGGAUAAGCCUGGGAAACUGGGUCUAAUACCGGAUAGUGUGGGAUGGGCCCGCGGCCUAUCAGCUUGUUGGUGGGGUAAUGGCUACCAAGGCGCGACGGGUAGCAGGCCUGAGAGGGUGGACGGCCACAUUGGGACUGAGACACGGCCAAGACGCAGACGGGAGGCAGCAGGGGGGAAGAUUGCACAAUGGGCGGAAGCCUGACCGAGCAACGCCGCGUGAGUGAAGAAGGUUUUAGGAUCGUAAAGCUCUGUUGGUAGAAAAGCGGUAUCUAACCAGAAAGCCACGGCUAACUACGUGCCAGCAGCCGCGGUAAUAC